CCACCCUCCCCCUUCUAUCACGCCUGAAAAUAAGCGUUUGAUGAGUAAUUCAUUUCAUGGAUGAAAUGAAAGGCGAGUUAGACCAUGGAUGGCCUAUGUCGCCGUUUACGUUCACAUCAAUUGGUUAUUUGAAGAUUCAGCGUGAUUUAGGGGCGCCGUGG
rfam:Pseudoalteromonas luteoviolacea B = ATCC 29581, WGS project CAPN01000000 data, contig: 12